GAUGAACGCUGGCGGCGUGCCUAAUACAUGCAAGUCGAGCGAACAGACGAGGAGCUUGCUCCUCUGACGUUAGCGGCGGACGGGUGAGUAACACGUGGAUAACCUACCUAUAAGACUGGGAUAACUUCGGGAAACCGGAGCUAAUACCGGAUAAUAUAUUGAACCGCAUGGUUCAAUAGUGAAAGACGGUUUUGCUGUCACUUAUAGAUGGAUCCGCGCCGCAUUAGCUAGUUGGUAAGGUAACGGCUUACCAAGGCAACGAUGCGUAGCCGACCUGAGAGGGUGAUCGGCCACACUGGAACUGAGACACGGUCCAGACUCCUACGGGAGGCAGCAGUAGGGAAUCUUCCGCAAAGGGCGAAAGCCUGACGGAGCAACGCCGCGUGAGUGAUGAAGGUCUUCGGAUCGUAAAACUCUGUUAUUAGGGAAGAACAUAUGUGUAAGUAACUAUGCACGUCUUGACGGUACCUAAUCAGAAAGCCACGGCUAACUACGUG
rnacentral:rRNA from 1 species